CGAAUGCUGACAUAAGUAACGAUAAAGCGGGUGAAAAGCCCGCUCGCCGGAAGACCAAGGGUUCCUGUCCAACGUUAAUCGGGGCAGGGUGAGUCGACCCCUAAGGCGAGGCCGAAAGGCGUAGUCGAUGGGAAACAGGUUAAUAUUCCUGUACUUGGUGUUACUGCGAAGGGGGGACGGAGAAGGCUAUGUUGGCCGGGCGACGGUUGUCCCGGUUUAAGCGUGUAGGCUGGUUUUCCAGGCAAAUCCGGAAAAUCAAGGCUGAGGCGUGAUGACGAGGCACUACGGUGCUGAAGCAACAAAUGCCCUGCUUCCAGGAAAAGCCUCUAAGCAUCAGGUAACAUCAAAUCGUACCCCAAACCGACACAGGUGGUCAGGUAGAGAAUACCAAGGCGCUUGAGAGAACUCGGGUGAAGGAACUAGGCAAAAUGGUGCCGUAACUUCGGGAGAAGGCACGCUGAUAUGUAGGUGAAGUCCCUCGCGGAUGGAGCUGAAAUCAGUC
rnacentral:rRNA from 1 species